AUUGAACGCUGGCGGCAUGCCUUACACAUGCAAGUCGAACGGCAGCACGGGAGCAAUCCUGGUGGCGAGUGGCGAACGGGUGAGUAAAGCAUCGGAACGUACCUGGUAGUGGGGGAUAGCCCGGCGAAAGCCGGAUUAAUACCGCAUACGACCUGAGGGUGAAAGCGGGGGAUCGCAAGACCUCGCGCUAUUGGAGCGGCCGAUGUCAGAUUAGCUAGUUGGUGGGGUAAAGGCCUACCAAGGCGACGAUCUGUAGCUGGUCUGAGAGGACGACCAGCCACACUGGGACUGAGACACGGCCCAGACUCCUACGGGAGGCAGCAGUGGGGAAUUUUGGACAAUGGGCGCAAGCCUGAUCCAGCCAUGCCGCGUGCGGGAAGAAGGCCUUCGGGUUGUAAACCGCUUUUGUCAGGGAAGAAAUCUUCUGGGUUAAUACCUCGGGAGGAUGACGGUACCUGAAGAAUAAGCAUCGGCUAACUACGUGCCAGCCGCCGCCGUAAAAC
rnacentral:rRNA from 1 species